AGUAAAUUGGUUAAGUUAGAAAGGGCGCACGGUGGAUGCCUUGGCACUAGGAGCCGAAGAAGGACGGGACUAACACCGAUAUGCUUUGGGGAGCUGUACGUAAGCGUUGAUCCAGAGAUUUCCGAAUGGGGGAACCCACUAUCUUUAGUCGGAUAGUAUCCUUACGUGAAUACAUAGCGUGAGGAAGGCAGACCCAGGGAACUGAAACAUCUAAGUACCUGGAGGAAGAGAAAGAAAAAUCGAUUUCCUGAGUAGCGGCGAGCGAAACGGAAAGAGCCCAAACCAAGAAGCUUGCUUCUUGGGGUUGUAGGACACUCUAUACGGAGUUACAAAAGAAAGUUAUAAAUGAAGCGGUCUGGAAAGGCCCGCCAAAGACGGUAACAGCCCGGUAGUUGAAAUGGCUUUCCCUCCAGAGUGGAUCCUGAGUACGGCGGAACACGUGAAAUUCCGUCGGAAUCCGGGAGGACCAUCUCCCAAGGCUAAAUACUCCCUAGUGACCGAUAGUGAACCAGUACCGUGAGGGAAAGGUGAAAAGCACCCC
rnacentral:rRNA from 1 species